rnacentral:rRNA from 1 species
CAGGGCAUCCAUGUCUUGUAAUUGGAAUGAAUAGAAUCCAAACCCCUUUGUGAGUAUCAAUUGGAGGGCAAGUCUGGUGCCAGCAGCCGCGGUAAUUCCAGCUCCAAUAGCGUAUAUUAAAGUUGUCGCGGUUAAAAAGCUCGUAGUCGGAUUUCUGCUGAGGUUGAUUGGUCCGCCCUCUGGGCAGGUAUCUGGCUCAACCUUGGCAUUUUCCCAGAGAGCGUGUCUGCACUUGACUGUGUGGUGCGGGGCUUGGGACUUUUACUUUGAGGAAAUUAGAGUGUUUCAAGCAAGCAGUUGCUUUGAAUACAUUAGCAUGGAAUAACAAGAUACAACCUCGGUCCUAUCUUGUUGGUUUCUAGAGCUGAGGUAACGAUUAAUAGGGGUAGUUGGGGGCAUUUGUAUUUAAUUGUCAGAGGUGAAAUUCUUGGAUUUGUUAAAGACUGACUACUGCGAAAGCAUUUGCCAAGGAUGCUUUCAUUGAUCAAGAACGAAAGUUAGGGGAUCGAAGACGAUCAGAUACCGUCCUAGUCUUAACCAUAAACAAUGCCGACUAGAGAUUGAAGGUUGUUAUCAUCAUGACCCCUUCAGCACCUUAUGAGAAAUCAAAGUCUUUGGGUUCCGGGGGGAGUAUGGUCGCAAGGCUGAAACUUAAAGGAAUUGACGGAAGGGCACCACCAGGAGUGGAGCCUGCGGCUUAAUUUGACUCAACACGGGGAAACUUACCAGGUCCAGACAUAGUGAGGAUUGACAGAUUGAUAGCUCUUUCUUGAUUCUGUGGGUGGUGGUGCAUGGCCGUUCUUAGUUGGUGGAGUGAUUUGU